rnacentral:tRNA from 1 species
UGUAGAAUAAGCUAAAUUUAAGCUGUUGGGUUCAUACCCCAGAUAUGAGGGUACUCUUUUACAG